rnacentral:lncRNA from 1 species
GUGAUUAUUUAUUUGACUAGAAAACUCUAAGGUGGAAAUAAUUUCUUUUUCUUCAAGAAAAAAAAAAUUAAAAGAAUGUCUUUUCAGUUUCUCCAGACCUUUGAACUGCAACAGAAAAUUGGAGAAUAUAACCUAGCCCUGGGCAUAUGCUGCUCUGGGUCUUGGGCCAGUUUCUGUCUACAGUAAGUUGACUUUUGGGUAUCAUGUAAGGGCAGGCCAUAAAGAUUGUAAAGAAAAGACUGGAUCUUUUAAAAAACUCAGUUUCUAAAGUCAUAGCUAAGAUAUCUUUAAUCGAGAUUAUAAUGCUAACUAUGGCUUAAAAGUAAAUGUUUUUAGUGAAAUACUAAGCAGCAUUUCCCAAAUCAUGUAUUGCUAUGUCAGAGUUUUGUCUUGAUUUUAGAGAGGCUAAUGAGGUCAGAUGAAUACAAUGGCAAUUAACAUAUUAGGAAAGUUGUGUGGAGAUGUAGCUAAAGGAAACAAUUGGAAUGAAUCUUCUUGCCUUAGGACUCCUGCAAAGCCUAGGUCAGUGAUGGCAAACACUUUAGGGCUUUCAGUGAUAACAAUCCACUAUGGCACACUUACCGUAGGUAAGUCUGCCACCAUUUCCCUAGGUAGAUGAGUAACUGCCUAUGUUCCAGAAUCCACCCUCUGGUGACUGGUGGGGUAGCCUUUCAGUAAGGGUCUUGGUAUUACAGGCUAAUAACUUUGUUUGGUUCUAGUAAUACUGAGGUAUAGGAAUUGGUAGAAAAAUGACAAAGUUGACCAAGAUUUGUCCCCUAUUGUAUUCCCAGCCACUCUCCUCCAGGAUAAUGUAAAUAUCCUUCCUUAUCUUGACAAGUGUAUAAAGAAAACCUGUGAAAUGACCCUGAUUUGGUGUUUAUUGAGACCUUGAUCUCCUGCCACACUUCCCCUCAUGAGUCAUUUCACUCUUCAUUGCCUGUAGGGAUUGUUAGUUCUGCUGGUUGCUCUGUAAGGUACAGCCUGUGUGCUCUGCUCCCUGUGAAUUUCAUCCACAGACUUGGUUAGUCAUAAUUUGUAAAGAGCAUCCCCCCACCCUUUUCAUCUUCUCCCAUACUGAGGCUGCUAUUGUGGCAGGGACAAGGGAGCAGGAAGCCUACCCAAAUUAACACUCAAAUUUCCUUCAUAUUACUUGGUCUUUAGCCCUCACUACCCAACCCCCUACUGCUGUUCCUAGUCUCAUUUUUAGGGGAUUCAUGAGAAUAGGACAUAUGGAUACAUUGAUCUUUAUAGGGUGUCAGCCGUGAGAUGCAUACUUCCCCUCCCAGAGGACAGGAGAGAAAUCUGUAAAGCGACAGAUGCACCAUCUUUAUUUUACAAACUUUUUAAAGCCUCCUCAGAUUUUGUUGCUAAGAGUCUCAUUGCAAGAUUUGUUCAGCUGUCUUCCCCAUAUCUAUACCUUUUUAUUGGCUAUCUUUUAUUUAAAAAUAAUAAACACUUUUAGAUUAAUACUUUUAAAAAAUGGAAAUCAUUUUUUUUUCAGUGCUGGGGAACAAACUCAGGGCCUUGCACAUGCCAGGCAAGCACUCUACUAAUGAGCUAAAUCCCCAGCCCCACAAUAAUAAACAUUUUAAAUAUCUUACUAUCUUAUAAAUAAUAAAAUAUAUUUUCUAUAAAAUAGUAAGAUGUUUCACUCUGUCCUGUUGUGAGCUUUCAAAAAUGCUUAAUGCUUGACAGGUGGUUGGUUAAGCAGGGAGUUCUUUUUUAAAAAACAAUUUUAGUGAUGCAUAUUUUACUUACAGUAAAUUCUCACAUUUCAAGUGUAUAAGUUGGUGGUUUCAGUAACUUUCCUCAGUGGUGUAGCCAUAACCAUUACUUAGCUUUAGAAUGUUUUCAUCCCUCCCAAUAAGAUCCUUCAUGAUCAUUUAGUCAGCCCUUGCUCCCAUCCCCAUCACUUUGUUUCUGUAUAUACACCUUUUCUGGACAUUUCACGUCAGUGGAAUCGUACACUAUGUGCCAUCUGGUUCUUUUCACUUAGCACGUUUUUGAGGCUCGUCCGUGACAUGUUUUGGUGGUUCUUUUUAUGGCUGAACAAUAUCCCAUUAAUGGGUAUGCCAUUAUGUCAGCAAAGAACCUUUUAAACUUGGAUUUCAACUUCCUAUGGUCCAAAUGGAAGCCUCUAAACGUAGAGUUCCAUAAGGGAAGCUACUGUGUAUGUCAAAGAAAUUCCUUUUCAAAACCAGCUUUGCUAUCAGAAGUUCCAUAAAAGGAGCCUCAGCUGCUGCACAGAUUUUUAUAAUUUUCAAUUUCUUUUUUAUAAGCAACUUUUAUGCUGUCUGCUACACAUCAGGAUUUUUGAAGCAUCUGAUAGAUCCAUUCAAUGAGCAUGUGCUUGAGUGGACAAGCAAGUAAAACCAUCAGUGCUGUGCUGGAUGUUUCUUUUCCCCCUAGACUGGAUGGGGGAAUCUCUGAACUUUCUACAUACAGUGUCAUGUCUCCAUUUAUAAAACUGACCAUGUAUUAAAGGUUGUACUGCCUUUGUUGGACACAUUUGGAGGGAAAGAGGGCCCACAACAGAGGUGGAAAGGAAAAAGGAAUGGAGCUUGUGGAAUAAGAAGCCCCAGAGGGUCUGUGCAUGGCCCGCCAGCUGGCUGUGGAUGGUGACAAGUGUUAAUGGUGACCUGGGCAGCCUGGCACCUCAGCUGGCCUAGGUCUAGAAUCAUGUUUCUGCUUCACAAGUGUUUAAAAGCUGGCUUUUCUUCCCUCCUAAAUAAACAUUACAUGGCAGUUAUUAAUACUGUUUGGGGGGAGGGAAAGGGAUUUAAAACAAAAUAAUUUUCAUAAAAACGGAAAAAAGUCACUUGAAAAAAUUGCUAUACAAACUGAAUGGCAG